UACGUAGGGUGCAAGCGUUGUCCGGAUUUAUUGGGCGUAAAGAGCGUGUAGGCGGCCAGGUAGGUCUGCUGUGAAACUCGAGGCUCAACCUCGAGACGUCGGCGGAAACCAUCUGGCUAGAGUCCGGAAGAGGAGAGUGGAAGUUCCAGGUGGUAGCGGUGAAAUGCGUAGAUAUCUGGAGGAAUACCGGUGGCGAAGGCGGCAUCCUGGACCAUUACUGACGCUGAGGCGCGAAAGCUAGGG
rnacentral:rRNA from 1 species